rnacentral:rRNA from 1 species
UACGAAGGGGGCUAGCGUUGCUCGGAAUCACUGGGCGUAAAGCGCACGUAGGCGGGUCGUUAAGUCGGGGGUGAAAUCCUGGAGCUCAACUCCAGAACUGCCUUCGAUACUGGCGACCUUGAGUCCGGGAGAGGUGAGUGGAACUCCGAGUGUAGAGGUGAAAUUCGUAGAUAUUCGGAAGAACACCGGUGGCGAAGGCGGUUCUCUGGGCCUGUACUGACGCUGAGGAGCGAAAGCGUGGGGAGCGAACAGG